rnacentral:tRNA from 1 species
GGAGAGGUGGCCGAGUGGCUGAAGGCAACCGCCUGCUAAGCGGUUGACGGGCCAAAAGCUUGUCCGGGGGUUCGAAUCCCCCCCUCUCCGCCA